UUAGCCAUCGGUCGUUGACACAGCUCAUAUCUGAUUUCAACGUUCGCUCUCUCCCCCACUCUCUCUCUCUCUCUCUCUCUCGUUCUCUCUCUCAUGAGAGUUUGCGUAAGCAAUGGAGCACAAAAGCUGACGCUAUAUUUUCUUGAGAAAAUCAUAUUUCCAAAGAAGAAAGUGAGCUUCGAGGGCUUAUCUGAUAUUUUCUUUUUGCGCCCCGCUAAAUUCUGCCAUUCAUUUGCAUCUGCCUUCAUAUAAAACAGAAAGAAAGUUGAAUCCUUUAGAACUUGUGGUGUCAAGUGUUGCGGGGAUCCUUUUGCAAGCCAUUCAGCAUACUAGAAAAGUUUUAUAUUUGUUCAUAAAGAUAAUUGGGAGGAGGUUGAAAAGGUUGGAAGACUCAUUAUUAGGGAUCUAUGCUUUCUUGCCUUCUAAGCUGGCCACCUGAUUUUGAUGGAUGUUACCUCUCUGGAAACUAAUAGCAACGCUCAAACUGACCAAUACCCUUUGCUAAUGGAGCGGGUAGAAAGCCAUGACAUCCAGCAACACAUAGUUGACAUAAAUAGGAAUGAUGAUGCCUCAUCAAGCUCUUCUCAUGAUGGACAGCCACCUAGAGUGGAUUCAACACAGCAUGAAGAUAAUAGACUAUCCAGUAGCACGCAAGUUCCCACUUAUCAAACUUCUUUAUCGUCAUCAGAUAGAUUAAACUCUAGGAGUUCCUCGUUCAGGAGAAGAGGUGAUGGCUAUCGUCAUCGCCGCAGGAGCCCAUUGAAUUCUGGGCUAUGGAUCUCUGUUGAGCUGAUUGUCACCAUGAGUCAAAUUAUCGCAUCUAUUGUUGUUUUGUCAUUGUCAAGAAAUGAAAACCCACAAACCCCAUUGUUUGCGUGGGUUGUGGGUUAUGCCUCCGGUUGUGUUGCAACACUUCCUAUUCUCUAUUGGCGAUUUCGUAACCGCAACCAGGGUACUGAGCAAGAUUCUUCUCAAUCACAUCAAGGCUCUUCUCAGAGCAAUACUGCUGAACCUGCUUCUUAUACUGCUAUCUCUGUCACUCAAUCUUUAAACGAGGAAAAUCUUCGAACCUCGGAGUAUUUAUCAAGGAACGACCAAAUUGGAAACUUAACUACACGAAUUAAUGGUGUAGUGGACCAUUUCAAGAUGGCAUUAGAUUGCUUCUUUGCAGUCUGGUUUGUUGUGGGCAAUGUCUGGAUAUUCGGAGGUCACUCUUCACCUUCUGAUGCACCCAAGUUGUAUAGAUUAUGUAUAGUGUUUCUUACGUUCAGCUGUAUUGGAUAUGCCAUGCCUUUUAUAUUAUGUGCAACAAUAUGUUGCUGCUUGCCUUGCAUAAUUUCUGUUUUGGGCAUUCGUGAGGACCAUUCUCAGACUAGAGGAGCAACCCCAGAAUCUAUAAAUGCUCUGCCCACCUACAAGUUCAAGUUGAAGAAAAAUGGCAAUGUUGAGGAUCAGGAAAUGAAUGCGGGAGUGACUGAAGGUGGGGUCUUGGCUGCAGGAACAGACAAGGAACGGGACAUAUCAGGAGAAGAUGCAGUUUGCUGUAUAUGCUUGGCAAAAUAUGUGGAUGAUGAUGAGCUCAGGGAGUUGCCCUGCUUCCAUGUCUUUCAUGUUGAGUGUGUUGACAAAUGGUUAAAGAUCAAUGCAUUAUGUCCCCUUUGUAAAAGUGAUGUUGGUGAGCGCAUUGUCACCUCAUCUUGAGCCAGAGACUCCAGCCUGCACUAUGAGUGAAGAGAAUGGGAAAGGUUUCGGCCAUAGGUGACCUAUAUGGAGCCUGUGUGUUCCGUUACUUCACACUGGCACAAAGUCGCAAUCCCCGGUUGUUGAAAACUUGAGAGGUCGCAUCACAUGCAAAAGCCCAUGUCAAAUUACAUUUUUUGUUUUGCAGAGUAAUGCACUUGUGACUUAUAGCGGCUGAGACCUUUGUCUGAGCAAGUGGGUUUGGCCAUAGCAUCUUAUAAACGUUUAAGCUAUUCAAGUUUGUGUGAAAGCCGUGAUGUCUAUAAAUAAUAUCCAGUAGUUCAAAGGGUUAUCAGUACCGCAUAUCUUGUACACCUUGGUUGAAGAAGUGUUCCAUAUGUAUACUUGCGUAUGUAUAUUAUGAUUACUAAAUCAUUACAAUCCUUUUGAGCUUGGUUCCUCUCCAAGCUUUAUAAGGUAAUUGCCUUCUAUUUUUCCC